GAUAUUGAUAACGACGGUGAAGCCUCUGCUAUCGCCGACUCAGCAAGCGAUGAUCAAUCUCAAUGUUUCGUUGAAAUAAAUCUUGAUAACGACAAUGCAGCCUGCGCUAGAGCCGACUCAAGGAGCGAUCUUGAUGACGUCGCGGAAGCCUUCGCCAACCUAGACUCGAGGAGCG